CUCCUGUUGGUGCCUGCCUCCCACUCUAUCUUGCAGAUCCUGUUUUUUGACUGGAGGGAGAGGGCAACCAGUUGUGCUGUCGCAAGGUGGGAGCAGUGCCAGGGAUCUCAGACUUUGCUUUUCUGCAAUUUGAAGCUACUGAUUUGCAGUGGAAGACAUCUAAGAAGUGGGCAGACACUUUCCUCAGGUGCCACAGGUUUGUAUAACUGAGCAUUGGCACCUUUUUUCUGAUUACUCUUGACCCAUGUGCUGAAAUAUUUACUUUUGGAACUGGCUCACAGUAGGUUAUAGCGAGGAGGUGUUUUCAAGGUAUUCAAAGAGGAUUUUUGUGUUUCUUCUGAUCUUAAACAAAACUUGAAUUGAUCAUGUAUCUCUCAAUACAUCUCAGAAGAAACAGGCAGAGGAUGUGAAACAUUCAACACCCUCUUGCACUCCCGUUCUGGGUUUUGGAGGACUGACAUUGUAUCCACUCUCCUUUGGGUUUAAUGGACUUCCAGUGUUGGAUGCAUCUGCCUUGUCUAUGCUGUAAUCAGACGAGGCAGUUCUGGCACAGGUAAGAAUAUCUGCCUCUUAGAAAGGGCUCUAGAAGGGGAAUUGCACUACUGCAAAGAAGAGUAAAUUACAUUAUGGAACUUUUUAGUCCAUUGACUGCACCAAACCAGCUACAAUUUAUUUAGGAUUGUGAAGCUCUAAUGGAACUUGGAAAAAGCUGCCAAAAGGGCUGGAAUUCUGUACUGGAGUGGGAAGUUUCUGAUAUAAUAAGAAAUUAGAAGGAUCAAAGAAUAUAAGUCUGUGUGGGAUCUUAAAGAAUCCUCUAGUCUAGCCCAUGCAAUGUGAUUAAAGGCAUUAAGAGGAUCAAGGAGAUGCAGGGCUUGGGCUCAGGGCUGCAUCUAAGUUUGAACAGCUUUAUGUUGUAAAAUUUCCUUGUCAUGGUGCAACCACACAUCAAAGGAUAUGUGGCAGAGGCAGCCCUGCAUUCUUUUGGCGUGGAGGUGAAAGUUUAGGAAUGCUGAGAGUUGAGGUCACAUAGUGGCAGAGAGGUCCUUUAUAAGCCAGCCGAGCAUGAAGAGGCUGGAGGUGCAGAGACAUCAUCCAGUCAUAUCUGCCUCUCUUCCACUGGUUUUAUGCACAGAACUACUUGGUCAGUCU
rnacentral:lncRNA from 1 species